rnacentral:rRNA from 1 species
GAUGAACGCUGGCGGCGUGCCUAACACAUGCAAGUCGAACGGAAGGACAGUAAGCGUGUGCUCUUCCGGGUGGCGGAUGGCGGGAGGGUGACGAAUGCAUCGGGAUCUUCUUUUUCGGGGGGGAUAACGGAAGGAAGGUUACGAUAAUACAGCAUAUUAUGUACCGUGGAGAGCAGGGGAAAUUCGCGGCUUUCGCGAUUGAAUUAGACGUUGUCGGAUUAGCUUGUUGGGGAGGUAAAGGCACAGCAAGGCGACGAUACGGAGCCGGUCGGAGAGGAUGAUCAGCCACACUGGAACUGAGACACGGUCCAGACGCCUACGGGAGGCAGCAGUAGGGAAUAUGGGGCAAUGGGCGCAAGCCUGAUCCAGCCAUACCGCGUGGGUGAAGAAGGCCUUCGGGUGGUAAAGCCCUUUUUUUGGGAAAGAAAAGCAGUUGGUUUAUACCGCGCCGUUCUGACGGUACCUAAAUAAAAAGCACCGGCUAACUUCGUG